CAGGUCAGCAUACUGCCGUGAAUACGUUCCCGGGCCUUGUACACACCGCCCGUCACACCAUGAGAGUUGGGGAUACCCGAAGCCUGUGAGCCAACUGUAAAGAGGCAGCAGUCGAAGGUAGAAUCAAUGAUUGGGGUGAAGUCGUAACAAGGUACC
rnacentral:rRNA from 1 species